ACAGAGGUCCCGAGCGUUGUUCGGAUUCAUUGGGCGUAAAGGGUGCGUAGGCGGUUGCCUAAGUCAGGUGUGAAAUCUCGGGGCUCAACCCCGAAACUGCACUUGAUACUGGGUGACUCGAGUACUGGAGGGGAGACUGGAAUUUACGGUGUAGCAGUGAAAUGCGUAGAUAUCGUAAGGAAGACCAGUGGCGAAGGCGAGUCUCUGGACAGUUACUGACGCUGAGGCACGAAGGCUAGGGGAGCAAACGGGA
rnacentral:rRNA from 1 species